UUUUCACCAGAGCAAGAAAAAUGGAAACGCUGGUUGGAAUUGACAGAGGGAGGGUGAAAAAGGAGGGUUCGGUUCGAGGGGCGGAAUCAUUGUUAUGGAAAAUGGACGGAGAUGGAAUCUUUUCUGAAAGCAAUUUGAUUUUUCCUACAGCGUUUCGCUAUAAGGGUGAAGGAAGUGAAGUGACGUAUAGCGAAAGGAAGGGUUCGAAGCUCUGUUUCGAUCGCAGCGCCAUCGUACGAACCACGCGAAAGGUCAUUAGCCAGUAAUCGAUAAGGUAGAGAGGGGUGGGUCGAUAAUGUCGGCUCUGGAAGAAAACAACCCCAUUUCAUUGCCCAUCAUUGGAACACCGAGGAAAUUUCAAAGGUUUUAGGAACGUUGGUCUUAAAACUAUGAAGGAGUUCAAGAUUAUUACACAGACAUGCCACUCUCUAUGCAGACUUCAAUAGAACGUCAACAUUAAUCAAGCUAAUGCCAGGCGUCUCGAAUCCUUACGAUCAUUAAACGCCGCCAUUCCUCCCGUCAAUUGACCCCAUAACUAAUAGUUCAAUCACAACACACCAGUGUCUUUCACUCGAUCAUAGAGCCGCCUGUCCAAAUAGACGACUUCGAAUAUUUCUAAUCUCCAUCCAACGCGGCAAUGAAGUAUAUGUAAAUAUAUGAGCAACAGUCUGUCUCAUACUCUGUCCAGUGUAAAUCAACCUUAAGCACACUUCAUGAACAUAAAUCCCGCAUAUAUUUAUUACGAGAACACUAAAUGCUUUCUAUUUAAUCGUUAUCUUAAUUCCAAACAGAUGUCAUUUUACAACCUAACCCAACUUUUUUUUUUCUUGCUUAAACUCG